GACGGAGGGGGCUAGCGUUGUUCGGAAUUACUGGGCGUAAAGCGUGCGUAGGCGGCCUUUCAAGUUGGGUGUGAAAGCCCGGGGCUUAACCCCGGAAAUGCGCCCAAGACUGUUUGGCUAGAGACCGGGAGAGGUGAGUGGAACUCCGAGUGUAGAGGUGAAAUUCGUAGAUAUUCGGAAGAACACCAGUGGCGAAGGCGGCUCACUGGACCGGUACUGACGCUGAGGCACGGAAAGCGUGGGGAGCAAACAGG
rnacentral:rRNA from 1 species